CCUUGAUUAAAUUUAAUGGCACAACACGUUCGCCAGUGUGAUAUCCAUCGAGAACGGUCACCUCCUCGGCAGUUAACUCAAAAUCGAAGAUAUCGAAGUUCUCAGAAAUUCGGAGCGGAAAUGUGUUUUAUAAUGCGUAUUUGUAGAUCAAUAUAUGACUACUUUAGACCCCCCCACGUGCGUUUCAGCGAUAACACAGUGAGAGUUUUAGAAAAUCGGGAAAUGACCAAUCAAAACAAUAUCCACAAUUACAUUGAAGAACAACGACGCCAACUUCGGGAAAGAUACGAAAGACUUUGAAAUUAAAUGAAUAAUAUAAAUUAUGGUAUUCUCAGAUUCUCCGGCCCAUAUUGAAUGAUCUAAGUUGGAGCAGCUCCUCCGGCGUCAAGUGGAAAUCGAAAACAUCAAGGUUCUCGAUAAGAUGAACCUGCUGGGCAGCUUUUGGGAUCGGCACCGUGCCAAUGUCGAUCUGUGGAACGUUUGUAUUUUUGAGCUAUUAAAUAACUUCAGUUCUUUAA